GAACGCUGGCGGCGUGCUUAACACAUGCAAGUCGAACGGACGAGUGAGAUAAGUUUACUUAACUCACAAGUUAGUGGCGGACGGGUGAGUAACACGUGGAUAAUCUACCUGCAACACCGGGAUAACGCUGUGAAAACGGUGCUAAUACCGGAUACGUUCCCUUGUGCGCAUGUAUGAGGGAAGAAAGCUCAGGCGGUUGCAGAUGAGUCCGCGGCUGAUUAGCUAGUUGGUGAGGUAAAGGCUCACCAAGGCGAUGAUCAGUAGCCGGCCUGAGAGGGUGAACGGCCACACUGGGACUGAGACACGGCCCAGACUCCUACGGGAGGCAGCAGUGGGGAAUCUUCCGCAAUGGGCGCAAGCCUGACGGAGCAACGCCGCGUGGGUGAAGAAGGCCUUCGGGUUGUAAAGCCCUGUCUUAUGGGAAGAAGUCAGUGACGGUACCAUAGGAGGAAGCCACGGCUAACUACGUG
rnacentral:rRNA from 1 species